CAAGUCGAACGAGAAAGUACCCUUCGGGGUGCGAGUAAAGUGGCGCACGGGUGAGUAAGACUUAGGUAAUGUACCCUUUCGCUGGGGAUAACUAGGGGAAACUCUGGCUAAUACCGAAUACUCCAGUCAUUAGCUACGGCGAGGACUGGGAAAGCCGCAAGGCGCGAAAGGAGCGGCCUGAGGCCGAUUAGCUUGAUGGUGAGGUAAAAGCUCACCAUGGCUACGAUCGGUAGCUGGUCUGAGAGGAUGAUCAGCCACACUGGUACUGGAACACGGACCAGACUCCUACGGGAGGCAGCAGUUAGGAAUAUUGCACAAUGGGGGAAACCCUGAUGCAGCAACGCCGCGUGAGUGAAGAAGGCUUUCGGGUUGUAAAGCUCUUUCAGCAGGGAAGAAACAAAUGACGGUACCUGCAGAAGAAGCACCGGCUAACUCCGUGCCAGCAGCCGCGGUAAUACGGAGGGUGCAAGCGUUAUUCGGAUUCACUGGGCGUAAAGCGCGCGUAGGCGGUUUGGUAAGUUCGAUGUGAAAGCCCUGGGCUCAACCCAGGAAGUGCAUUGAAUACUGCCAGACUAGAGUAUCGGAGAGGAGAGUGGAAUUCCUGGUGUAGAGGUGAAAUUCGUAGAUAUCAGGAGGAACACCGGAGGCGAAGGCGGCUCUCUGGACGAUCACUGACGCUG
rnacentral:rRNA from 1 species